AUGAACGCUGGCGGCGUGCCUAAUACAUGCAAGUCGAGCGAACGGACGAGAAGCUUGCUUCUCUGAUGUUAGCGGCGGACGGGUGAGUAACACGUGAUAACCUACCUAUAAGACUGGGAUAACUUCGGGAAACCGGAGCUAAUACCGGAUGAUAUUUUGAACCGCAUGGUUCAAAAGUGAAAGACGGUCUUGCUGUCACUUAUAGAUGGAUCCGCGCUGCAUUAGCUAGUUGGUAAGGUAACGGCUUACCAAGGCAACGAUGCAUAGCCGACCUGAGAGGGUGAUCGGCCACACUGGAACUGAGACACGGUCCAGACUCCUACGGGAGGCAGCAGUAGGGAAUCUUCCGCAAUGGGCGAAAGCCUGACGGAGCAACGCCGCGUGAGUGAUGAAGGUCUUCGGAUCGUAAAACUCUGUUAUUAGGGAAGAACAUAUGUGUAAGUAACUGUGCACAUCUUGACGGUACCUAAUCAGAAAGCCACGGCUAACUACGUG
rnacentral:rRNA from 1 species